UACGUAGGGUGCGAGCGUUAAUCGGAGUUACUGGGCGUAAAGUGUGCGCAGGUGGCCGCGCAAGUCGAGUGUGAAAUCCCCGAGCUUAACUUGGGAAUUGCGCUCGAAACUACGUGGCUCGAGUGUGGCAGAGGAAGGUGGAAUUCCACGUGUAGCGGUGAAAUGCGUAGAGAUGUGGAGGAACACCGAUGGCGAAGGCAGCCUUCUGGGCCAACACUGACGCUCAUGCACGAAAGCGUGGGGAGCAAACAGG
rnacentral:rRNA from 1 species